UCAAUUCCGCAGUGCAUAUACUCAAAUUGGAAGGAUACAAAGAAAAUUAGCAUGGAUGACACGCUCAACCGUGAAGUAUUCCACAUUUUU
rnacentral:snRNA from 1 species